AAACAAAUCAAUGCAUAAUGAAUUCAAAACCCAAAGUAAUAGAUUGUAUGCUACAAGGCUUCCAUAACCCUAACUAAUAAACUUAACAACUCAUGAAUAAAACAAAAAUCAUCAUAACUAUAUUCAUCAUACCAAAAACUAGAAGAUGAUCUUGGUGUGCGAAUAGUGAAAACAAGAGAGAAAAACAUUUUUCUCUCUCUCUGGGCUAAGCCGCCACUCUCCUCUCUCAAAAAUAAUACAAAAUAAUGAAUUAUGAAUAAAAAUUCAGCAUUAAGCCUUUUAAUAAUCUUUUCUCUCAUAAUUGCUUUCUAAGUUCCUAAACUAAUUAUAAAUGACAAACUAGUCUUGGACAUAGUUUCUAGGAGCCACAUUUGGUCCAGACAGCUACUCUUUCUUGUGUCAUAUGCCAACCGCAUUUCAUAGUCUUAUUAUGUCUUCAUCUACCUCAUUAAUACCUGAAAUCAUUCUAAGCAUAUCGGUUAGCUCAAUUACAAAGAAGUAGAGUAAAAACAUAAGAAACUAGACACUUUGUUCUCUAAACUUAGCUAAAAUAUGGAUAAGUUAUGGUGCUUAGGUUUAUAAAUACACCCAAGAUCACCACCCCACACUUAAAGCUUUGUUCAUCCUCGAACAACAUAUCCAUUUAUACAUACUACACAAGCCUUAGCACCCACAAAGGAAGACAAAAUGCUCAAAUAGGCUUACACAACAAUUAUGAACAAGAAGUCGAUUCAGGAAUCAUUACUAGAGACAACCUAUCCUUAAGAAUAGACUCAUUAAGUUGGUAAUUUCAUGCAUACCAUUUAAGCAAAGAAAUCAUAUAAAUUACCCAACUUUUAUCAACCAUGUGCCCUCAUAAUAAGAAAGUUACCCAUAAUCACUCACAAUCAUGCAAUUUUCUAACAAAAUGGGUACAAGAAUCAAGUUGCACUUAUUCUCACAAAUAAUUCUCAAAUUACAACUGAUGACCAUAUGCUUGCCCUUAGUGUAAUACUCCACUAAUAUCAGAAUGCUAAGAAUAGGAUCAAAUAAUUCUUUUACGGGUUGUAAUGCAGGCUAAAGGAUGAGUAGGAACUAUUUUAGCCAGAAAUAGUGACUAUCUUCCCUAAGCACUUUAAUACACUACAUUAUGCAAUUAAGACCAAUCUCUAACAACCAAUUUCCGCUUCUUCUAUCUUCAUUGAUUUGCUUUUCACCCCAACUCAUUAAGCUUAAUUAAUAACACUAUGGUGGGAGUAUGCAACCCUUUCAAAUAUUUUUUUUUGCACCCUUUUCAUGUUAUGCACCCCUAUAAUAGCCACCCUCAACUUAAGAGAUUUGCCUUAGUUGAGGUGCACAAUGUCCAAGAAGGACAAGGGCCAAAACAGGUUCAUUGUAACAUGUCCGGGAUAAAAUUUGAAACUUUUUUCAACAAUUUUUGCUACUCCCAACCACAUCAAUUUCACACACUAAUAACUAGACUUUGGGGUAUCAAUUUCACCUUUUUCCUCUAAUUGUCAAACUCCUAACUCAAAUUACUUUUUACAUUAAAGUGCUUAGGAGCUUUUGGAUCAAAUUAUGGUCUAUUAAAGAAUGGUUAGGCUACAUAUGAGGCUAACAAAAGAGCAAGCUAAAGGCUCAAUGAGGCGAGCUAAGAUAAUGUACAAAGGUAGGUCAAAAGAAGGUAUAAACAAUGGCUAUCAAAGAAAUUCCUAAAUCAUCUCCUAAACUCAUAAUCUUUAUUUCUCUUUGCACACUCACUAGGCAAAUUAUAGCAUCAGUUGCAAUAAGAAAUAUACAACAGUCUUACACACUCAUGUCACAUGAUCAACUCAAUUAACAACAUUAUAGAUUCUCAACCCAACAAUUAUAUGAAUUCAAAUAAAACCAACAAUCAUAACAAGAGUCACAACUAAAGUCUAGGUGUUUCAAACGUAAUGAUCCAUCACAUACUUAUGUUAUAAUUUCAUCUGAUCCACAAGAAUAGUUACAUGCAAUUAAAUGAUUAAUUUUAUUACAUGCAAUUAAAUGAUUAAUUUUAUCUUAAGAUGGUCGUCAUCCAUCCAUUAUUGAGAAAAGCACCUAAUUAUGACUAAAUAACUAACAAAAUAAACAAAAUUACUAAUCCUAUCUAGAAGUAUACUAAGGAGAAGGUCCUAUUAUCUUACAAAACAAGUAGCAAAGUAACUAGCCACCCCACACUUAAGCUAGGCACUGUCCCCAGUGCAAAUAACAAGAUAAAGAACCUGGCUAGUAGUACAUUUCAUCCACAUUAGGAGUCAUGCCACAUGCAUGGAGAACAUUAUUGGAGCCAUUUUUCCUGUAUUCAUCAUAUCAUCCACGUCAGCCACAUAUGAUGAAAGUAACUAUAAUUAAGAUGAGGGUUGUAAAAUCACCACCCCACACUUAAUUUGUUAGUGUAAACCAAUUAAGUAUUAUUGUCAGGUACUCAGACUUUGCCGACAUACACUUUGAUAUGGUGGACCUACAUUAUUCGCAAUAUACUUCACUCACUUCAAUUCCCCCAAUUCUAUUUCAAUGAAGCACUUUUUGAAUAGAAUCAUGCUCUACACUUUCAACCAUAUCAAAAUAUACAAAACACCAUCACUUUCACAACAUCUUCAUGGCAAGAAUUUAAUUUGUAAUCCUUAAGAAAUCAAUUAACUAUAACUUAAAGUCAAAAUACUAAGGAUUAAGAAAGUAAAACUUACCUUAAAGAUGGAUGAUUAGUGAAGGACAAAGAGAAUGGUGAGAGCUCAAAAUUGUACGGCUUAAGGGUGAAAUAAGGAUGAAUUUGGGCAUUUAGGGUGUGAAGUCUAUUUAAAGAAUGAAAAUAUGGGUCGGGUUGACCCAAGUUAAAGUUGGAUUCAUAUUAAAAUUGGAAGGGUAUGCGACGCAUAUAUUAUCACACAUCAUUAAGUGUGCGUCGCACAUGCCAUCGCUCAACCAAAAUAGUGAGCAUGUGCGUUGGUGUAAGUGGCACAUAAAUAAUCGCACAACCUCAAGUGUGCAUCGCACAAGCUGCCGCAUAAGGUGAGUUAGGCGCCGCACUUGUUAUCGCAUAAGUGAGGAAGUAGGUGUUGGCGAUAGGGUAGGCACCGUACACCUGAUCGCCUAAAGGUAUGUUUAUACCACACAGGUGAUCACAUAGCUUGAGGUAGGCGUCAUACAAGGUAAAGCAUACCUUAUGCAGUAGGCUUAGACUGUGUCUUGGCGAUGGCCUUGCCAUGGCCUAUGUAACUUAGGUGCCUCACACCCUAUAGAACAUUUAAACUUGGACUCC
rnacentral:lncRNA from 1 species